rnacentral:rRNA from 1 species
AUACGUAGGGGGCGAGCGUUGUCCGAAAUGAUUGGGCGUAAAGGGCGCGUAGGCGGCCCGGUAAGUCUGGAGUGAAAGUCCUGUUUUUAAGAUGGGAAUUGCUUUGGAUACUGUCGGGCUUGAGUGCAGGAGAGGUAAGUGGAAUUCCCAGUGUAGCGGUGAAAUGCGUAGAGAUUGGGAGGAACACCAGUGGCGAAGGCGACUUACUGGACUGUAACUGACGCUGAGGCGCGAAAGUGUGGGGAGCAAACAGGAUUAGAUACCCUGGUAGUCCACACUGUAAACGAUGAAUGCUAGGUGUAGGGGGUAUCGACCCCUUCUGUGCCGCAGUCAACACAAUAAGCAUUCCGCCUGGGGAGUACGGCCGCAAGGUUGAAACUCAAAUGAAUUGACGGGG